AGCCCUCCUUGGUGCCUGUCCGGUAGCUGGUCACUCUCGGGGGAAGGUCGUGUGCAGAAGGGCACAUGCGAUCACACAGAGACGGCGUUGCUGCGGCUUUGACCCGAUGGUGCACCCGAAAGAACACAGAGGGUGAAGGGAGAGAUCCAGGAAGUGGUCGCGGAGCAGAACCCCCCUUCACUUCAGUUAAAAAGGGUUUCAAAGCCAGAGGAGAUAAAAGAAAUUUGUUCCCCUUGCAAAGAUGAAAAUCAGAUUUGCCCUGGUUUUGGUUAAUCGAAGUAUUGAUACGUUUUUCCUUAUUUAAUUUUAUUUUUUAAUUACCUCCAGUUCCAUCCAUGUUGCUGCAAAUGACAGGAUUUCAUUCUUUUUAUGGCUAAAUAAUAUUCCACUCUGUAUAUAAACCACUUUUUUUUUUUUUAAGACAGAGUCUUGUUCUGUCGCCCAGGCUGGAGUGCCAUGGCACGAUUUCAGCUCACUGCAAGCUCUGUCUCCCAGGUUCAAGUGAUUCUCGUGUCUCAGCCUCCUGAGUCGCUAAGAUGACAGGUGCCCGCCACCAUGCCUGGCUAAUUUUUGUACUUUUAGUAGAGAUGGGUUUCACCAUGUUGGCCAGGCUGGUCUUGAACUCCUGA
rnacentral:lncRNA from 1 species